rnacentral:rRNA from 1 species
CUGCUGCCUUCCGUAGGAGUCUGGUCCGUGUCUCAGUACCAGUGUGGGGGGCCUUCCUCUCAGAACCCCUACGCAUCGUCGCCUCGGUGGGCCGUUACCCCGCCGACUAGCUAAUGCGCCGCAUGCCCAUCCGUGGCCGGGAUUGCUCCCUUUGGCGGCCUUGGGAUGUCCCUAGGCCGCGUUACGCGGUAUUAGACGGGGUUUCCCCCGCUUAUCCCCCUGCCACGGGCGGGUUGCAUACGUGUUACUCACCCGUGCGCCGGUCGCCGGCAACGG